rnacentral:rRNA from 1 species
GACGAACGCUGGCGGCGUGCCUAAUACAUGCAAGUCGAACGCAUUUUCUUUCACCGUAGCUUGCUACACCGAAAGAAAAUGAGUGGCGAACGGGUGAGUAACACGUGGGUAACCUGCCCAUCAGCGGGGGAUAACACUUGGAAACAGGUGCUAAUACCGCAUAAUUCCAUUUACCGCAUGGUAAAUGGAUGAAAGGCGCUUUUGCGUCACUGAUGGAUGGACCCGCGGUGCAUUAGCUAGUUGGUGGGGUAACGGCCUACCAAGGCUGCGAUGCAUAGCCGACCUGAGAGGGUGAUCGGCCACACUGGGACUGAGACACGGCCCAGACUACUACGGGAGGCAGCAGUAGGGAAUCUUCGGCAAUGGACGCAAGUCUGACCGAGCAACGCCGCGUGAGUGAAGAAGGGUGUCGGAUCGUAAAACUCUGUUGUUAGAGAAGAACAAGGAUGAGAGUGGAAAGUUCAUCCCUUGACGGUAUCUAACCAGAAAGCCACGGCUAACUACGUG